GGGAAAAAAUAUCCAUCUUAUCCGUUCGUACUCAUCACCGCAGCAGGUCUCCAAAGGUUAGAAAGCCUCUAGUUGACAGAAUAACGUUGGUAAGGGAAGUCGGCAAAUUAAAUUUGUAACUUAGGGGAUAAAAAAUUGGCUCUAAAGGCUGGGUAUCAGGGUCAUAUGUUGGAAUCCUUUUAGGAAUCUUAUUUACGAUAAUCUAGCUUCGGUGGGGUUAUUGUGGAUGGGUGGAAUAAGGGUGGAUGGUGUAUGAUAAACCUCGGUUUAUUUCUUGAUACAAUUAACAGCUAAUUUAGAACUGUUACUGAGUAGGGGAAUCCGACUGUUUAAUUAAAACAAAGCAUUGUGAUAGGCUUAAUUUGCUAUUAACACAAUGUGAUUUCUGCCCAGUGCUCUGAAUGUCAAAGUGAAGAAAUUCAAACAAGCGCGGGUAAACGGCGGGAG
rnacentral:rRNA from 1 species